AUUGGACGCUGGCGGCAUGCCUUACACAUGCAAGUCGAACGGUAACGGGCCUUCGGGUGCCGACGAGUGGCGAACGGGUGAGUAAUGCAUCGGAACGUACCCAUCAGUGGGGGAUAACUCUCCGAAAGGAGGGCUAAUACCGCAUAUUCUGUGCGCAGGAAAGCGGGGGACCGCAAGGCCUCGCGCUGAUGGAGCGGACGAUGUCAGAUUAGCUAGUUGGUGGGGUAAAGGCCUACCAAGGCGACGAUCUGUAGCGGGUCUGAGAGGAUGAUCCGCCACACUGGGACUGAGACACGGCCCAGACUCCUACGGGUGGCAGCAGUGGGGAAUUUUGGACAAUGGGGGCAACCCUGAUCCAGCCAUGCCGCGUGAGUGAAGAAGGCCUUCGGGUUGUAAAGCUCUUUCGGCCGGGAAGAAAGCGCAUCUCCUAAUACGGGGUGUGGAUGACGGUACCGGAAUAAGAAGCACCGGCUAACUACGUGCCAGCCGCCGCCGUAA
rnacentral:rRNA from 1 species